rnacentral:rRNA from 1 species
UACGGGGGGGCAAGCGUUGUUCGGAAUUACUGGGCGUAAAGGGCUCGUAGGCGGCCAACUAAGUCGGAUGUGAAAUCCCCAGGCUCAACUUGGGAACUGCAUCCGAUACUGGAUGGCUUGAAUUCGGGAGAGGGAUGCAGAAUUCCAGGUGUAGCGGUGAAAUGCGUAGAUAUCUGGAGGAAUACCGGUGGCGAAGGCGGCAUCCUGGACCGACAUUGACGCUGAGGAGCGAAAGCUAGGGAGCAAACGGG